GUGGGGAAUAUUGGACAAUGGGGGGAACCCUGAUCCAGCCAUGCCGCGUGUGUGAAGAAGGCCUUUUGGUUGUAAAGCACUUUAAGCGAGGAGGAGGCUACCGAGAUUAAUACUCUUGGAUAGUGGACGUUACUCGCAGAAUAAGCACCGGCUAACUCUGUGCCAGCAGCCGCGGUAAUACAGAGGGUGCGAGCGUUAAUCGGAUUUACUGGGCGUAAAGCGUGCGUAGGCGGCUUUUUAAGUCGGAUGUGAAAUCCCCGAGAUUAGCUUGGUAAUUGCAUUCGAUACUGGGAAGCUAGAGUAUGGGAGAGGAUGGUAGAAUUCCAGGUGUAGCGGUGAAAUGCGUAGAGAUCUGGAGGAAUACCGAUGGCGAAGGCAGCCAUCUGGCCUAAUACUGACGCUGAGGUACGAAAGCAUGGGGAGCAAACAGGAUUAGAUACCCCUGUAGUCC
rnacentral:rRNA from 1 species